rnacentral:misc_RNA from 1 species
UCACCCCUCAAGCCCCCGGCUUGGUGUUGGACGGCCUGGUCGAGGUGUAUCCCUCGACCCCUCCUAAAGACAAUGACGGCGGCCCCGUGAAGCCCCCGGUACACUGAGCUUCUUAACUGAGCACGUAUCGGACCCAGGGCGUCCGGGCCACGGUCCUCUCCCUUCACUGGGAAACACUUUUUUUACAAGG